rnacentral:rRNA from 1 species
AUACGUAGGGGGCAAGCGUUGUCCGGAAUUAUUGGGCGUAAAGCGCGCGCAGGCGGUCUCUUAAGUCUGAUGUGAAAUCUCGCGGCUCAACCGCGAGCGGUCAUUGGAAACUGGGGGACUUGAGUGUAGGAGAGGAAAGUGGAAUUCCACGUGUAGCGGUGAAAUGCGUAGAGAUGUGGAGGAACACCAGUGGCGAAGGCGACUUUCUGGCCUAUAACUGACGCUGAGGCGCGAAAGCGUGGGGAGCAAACAGGAUUAGAUACCCUGGUAGUCCACGCCGUAAACGAUGAGUGCUAGGUGUUAGGGGUUUCGAUACCCUUAGUGCCGGCGUUAACACAUUAAGCACUCCGCCUGGGGAGUACGGCCGCAAGGCUGAA